UACGUAGGGUGCAAGCGUUGUCCGGAAUUAUUGGGCGUAAAGAGCGUGUAGGCGGCCCGAUUAGUCCGCUGUGAAAGUCCAGGGCUCAACCCUGGAAUGCCGGUGGAUACUGUCGGGCUAGAGUCCGGAAGGGGCGAGUGGAAUUCCUGGUGUAGCGGUGAAAUGCGCAGAUAUCAGGAAGAACACCCGUGGCGAAGGCGGCUCUCUGGGACGGUACUGACGCUGAGACGCGAAAGCGUGGGGAGCAAACAGG
rnacentral:rRNA from 1 species